rnacentral:rRNA from 1 species
GGCGGAGUUAGGGUACACUCUCAGCGUAGUAAUAUCUCUCGCUCGUGUGGUGGCCCUGGCUGCUAGCCGUUAAAACCCCUAUAUUUUCUAAUGGUUGACCUCGG